GUGAAAUUGGCACAUUACCUAUCUGACAUGAAGAAAAACUAAAAUAAACAAAAACAUUAAUAUCCACUACAAAGUCCCAUCUCAAAUAUCACUUCUGUGAAGGCAUACCUGACUCCUCUCACUUCCAAGAUUCUACAAGUUUGCCUCAUGGAAGGGAGCCAAUAUGAUCUGAGCACCUGCAGAUAAGAGAAAAGGCACUUGAGGAGGAGUGGUUGAGUUAGAUGAACCAGCUGCUUCUGAAGAAGGGGCAGACGUAUGUACGUUUUAAAGCUGAGAGCUGUGAAGGAAGAAAGAGCCCCUAAAAGACAGGAAUAAGAAGACACAAACAUGCUGUGUAGGAAAUGGAGGUCAUUCUAAAGCUAUCUGGAAACAGUCACCAUGGUGACUGUGCUCACGUAGUGAGACAUAAUAAUACCAUAGUAGGGUGAACCUGGCAGACCAUUGCAAUACAAGUUUCCUGCUUUGACAUCUUAUGUAGUCUGGUCCCA
rnacentral:lncRNA from 1 species